rnacentral:rRNA from 1 species
UGAGGAAUAUUGGUCAAUGGGCGGAAGCCUGAACCAGCCAAGUAGCGUGCAGGAGGACGGCCCUAUGGGUUGUAAACUGCUUUUAUGCGGGGAUAAAGUGAGGGACGUGUCCCUUUUUGCAGGUACCGCAUGAAUAAGGACCGGCUAAUUCCGUGCCAGCAGCCGCGGUAAUACGGAAGGUCCGGGCGUUAUCCGGAUUUAUUGGGUUUAAAGGGAGCGUAGGCCGGGGAUUAAGUGUGUUGUGAAAUGUAGGCGCCCAACGUCUGACUUGCAGCGCAUACUGGUUCCCUUGAGUACGCGCAACGCCGGCGGAAUUCGUCGUGUAGCGGUGAAAUGCUUAGAUAUGACGAAGAACCCCGAUUGCGAAGGCAGCCGGCGGGAGCGCAACUGACGCUGAAGCUCGAAGGUGCGGGUAUCGAACAGGAUUAGAUACCCUGGUAGUCCGCACGGUAAACGAUGGAUGCCCGCUGUUGGUACCUGGUAUCAGCGGCUAAGCGAAAGCAUUAAGCAUCCCACCUGGGGAGUACGCCGGCAACGGUG